rnacentral:hammerhead_ribozyme from 1 species
AUUCAGCCGACGAGUCCCAAAUGAGACGAAACGCGUGUCCUGGAU